rnacentral:rRNA from 1 species
ACGCUGGCGGCGUGCUUAACACAUGCAAGUCGAACGAGAAUCUGUGGAUAGAGGAUUCGUCCAAUUGAAGCGGAGGAAAGUGGCGGACGGGUGAGUAACGCGUGAGGAACCUGCCUUUCAGAGGGGGACAACAGUUGGAAACGACUGCUAAUACCGCAUAACGCAUAGGGGUCGCAUGAUCUUUAUGCCAAAGAUUUAUCGCUGAUAGAUGGGCUCGCGUCUGAUUAGAUAGUUGGUGAGGUAACGGCUCACCAAGUCGACGAUCAGUAGCCGACCUGAGAGGGUGAUCGGCCACAUUGGAACUGAGAAACGGUCCAAACUCCUACGGGAGGCAGCAGUGGGGAAUAUUGGGCAAUGGGCGCAAGCCUGACCCAGCAACGCCGCGUGAAGGAAGAAGGUCUUCGGGUCGUAAACUUCUAUCCUUGGUGAAGAUAAUGACGGUAGCCAAGAAGGAAGCCCCGGCUAACUACGUG